rnacentral:rRNA from 1 species
CGCGUAGGCGGGCCAAAUAGUCCGGGGUGAAAGCCCCCAGCUUAACUGGGGAAGUGCCUUGGAAACUCUUGGUCUAGAGGGAGGUAGGGGCCUGUGGAACUUCGGGUGGAGCGGUGAAAUGCGUUGAUAUCCGAAGGAACGCCGGUGGCGAAAGCGACGGGCUGGAUCUCUUCUGACGCUGAGGCGCGAAAGCCAGGGGAGCAAACGGGAUUAGAUACCCCGGUAGUCCUGGCCCUAAACGAUGAGGACUAGGUUGCGGACUAAACAUGGGUUCGCAGCCGAAGCAAAAGUGGUAAGUCCUCCGCCUGGGGAGUAUGGUCGCAAGGCUGAA